CCUACGGGUGGCAGCAGUGGGGGAUAUUGGACAAUGGGGGAAACCCUGAUCCAGCGACGCCGCGUGAGUGAAGAAGUAUUUCGGUAUGUAAAGCUCUAUCAGCAGGGAAGAAAGAAAUGACGGUACCUGAGUCAGAAGCCCCGGCUAACUACGUGCCAGCAGCCGCGGUAAUACGUAGGGGGCAAGCGUUAUCCGGAAUUACUGGGUGUAAAGGGAGCGUCGACGCUAAUGCAAGUCUGGAGUGAAAGGCGGGGGCCCACCCCCCGGACUGCUCUGGAAACUGUGUAACUGGAGUGCAGGAGAGGCAGGCGGAAUUCCUAGUGUAGCGGUGAAAUGCGUAGGUAUUAGGGGGGACACCAGUGGCGAAGGCGACCUGCUGGACUGUAACUGACGUUGAGGCUCGAAAGCGUGGGGAGCAAACAGGAUUAGAUACCCGAGUAGUC
rnacentral:rRNA from 1 species